GUUUUUUAGCCCGCAAAAAUAGGUAAGGGAGGAAAUGCGGGUAGAUCCUUGCUGAUGGAAGAGAUUAAGAGCGUUGAGCGUGCUACCUAUAGUGACAUCACCGUAUAAAAACUUCCAAAGUAUGACGAGCUUAUGUGGAUCUUAUAACCAAAAGAUAUGGUCUGAUCAAGAAUUCCAGUCGAUCACGAUGGCUCUCCUUUGGACUUGUGCACACAUGACGCUGUAGUGGUUGCAUCUCCAGCACAUCUUUUCAUAUCUCUCUUGGAUUGAAAUCCAGCCAUGGAAAUUCUAUCUCCAAGAGCAACAAAAACGUUUCUUGUGUUUCCGAGGCUGGAUAAGCUUAAGUCAUGCCACGAAUGUCAGCUUUCGUGCGUUUCGUCGUCACGGCUUUCUCGGACCGCAUCACAUUUUCGUUCCAGGAAAUCUAUCCAAGUCAAAAGUACAAAUGCUUUGUCCGGAUGACAAAAAAUUCCGUCCUUUCCCCAGAGGGCGCCCUUUAACUCGGGCCUUGGGCAGAGCUCCUUGACGAGAAAGGAAGUCUUGUUAUCUGGAACACGCUACACGCAAGUCAAACCGGGAAGCUCUCAUCUUUUUCCUCCAAGUCUCCUCCAUUAUCAUGGACGGACCAGACCAGCUCGACACACACAACAACACGACUGAGAUUCGACACCCAGCCUUGUCAUCUGCGUGCGUUCCUGAUUCCAAAAAAGUUGGAGUCAUUCGGACAAACAACAUAAUAGCUGGGAAACACGCCUCGCUGUGUGCUGCUGCUCAGUAGUGGUGGUGCUGGUACGCCUCAACACUCACGACUCUCCGGAAGACGAAAGGAUAUCAAGGAUGAAAAGAUCAAAAGAGAGAUUUUUCUGGCAUCAAAGCUGCGGUAGCCGGAGGAGAGAGAGAGAGAGAGAGACGCUUUGCUUUCUUCUCGACCGGACCGGAUGGCUGGAACUUGGAAAACUUGGAACUCGCAAUGUGGAAUUUUGGAGCCGUCGCCGACGACGAGGGUCGCUAUCCGGGGCUUGCUGGCUUAGCCGGCGACAGCAUCUCAGAGGGGGAGCCUUGAGAGGACAUUCUUGCGCUCCACAGGGAUCGAUCUUCUCUUUCUCCACUCGAGGAUUAAACAAGGAGUAAAAACCAAUCAGGGAGGUGAAAAGACUGUGCCUGGAGCACUGGAGCUGUGGAGAUGGAGCUGAGAGUUUUUUUGUCACCACCACCACCACCACCACCACCGCGCUGCGCUGCUCGACUCGAGAGCGCGAGGGACAUCGCAGUACACAUGAACCGAGAGAGACUAGCGACGGGUAUUUUGAUUUUCAUGCCGCUCUAGCCAUUGCUGUUAAAAGGUUUUAACACCGCGCAUUCAAUGUGGAGUCCAGGACUAGAUGGAGCGAAAAGAAAAUCGAUCAAAGCAUUUGCGCAAAAGAUUUGGUAGAUUUCCAAAGAAGAAGGAAAGAUAACCAUUUGGAUCUAAGAAAAGAGAACCAUUUCUGGAUUGCCAAAGAAAUUCUAUCUGGACUAAAUUGCAGAAAACCAUUUCUA